rnacentral:rRNA from 1 species
UACCCGAAUAAGAAGGUCCGGCUAACUUCGUGCCAGCAGCCGCGGUAAUACGAAGGGACCUAGCGUAGUUCGGAAUUACUGGGCUUAAAGAGUUCGUAGGUGGUUGAAAAAGUUGGUGGUGAAAUCCCAGAGCUUAACUCUGGAACUGCCAUCAAAACUUUUCAGCUAGAGUAUGAUAGAGGAAAGCAGAAUUUCUAGUGUAGAGGUGAAAUUCGUAGAUAUUAGAAAGAAUACCAAUUGCGAAGGCAGCUUUCUGGAUCAUUACUGACACUGAGGAACGAAAGCAUGGGUAGCGAAGAGGAUUAGAUACCCUCGUAGUCCAUGCCGUAAACGAUGUGUGUUAGACGUUGGAAAUUUAUUUUCAGUGUCGCAGCAAAAGCGAUAAACACACCGCCUGGGGAGUACGACCGCAAGGUUAAAACUCAAAUGAAUUGACGGGGACCCGCACAAGUAGUGGAGCAUGUGGUUUAAUUCGAAGAUACGCGCAGAACCUUACCAACACUUGACAUGUUCGUCGCGACUCUAAGAGAUUAGAGUUUUCGGUUCGGCCGGACGAAACACAGGUGCUGCAUGGCUGUCGUCAGCUCGUGUCGUGAGAUGUUGGGUUAAGUCCCGCAACGAGCGCAACCCUCACUUUUAGUUGCCAUCAUUUAGUUGGGCACUCUGAAAGAACUGCCAGUGAUAAGCUGGAGGAAGGUGGGGAUGACGUCAAGUCCUCAUGGCCCUUACGUGUUGGGCUACACACGUGCUACAAUGGUAUCUACAACAGGAAGCAAGACGGCGACGUUAAGCAAAUCCUUAAAAGAUACCUCAGUUCGGAUUACACUCUGCAACUCGAGUG